rnacentral:lncRNA from 1 species
GGUGUUCAUGGAAGGGCAGCAAUACACUCCAAAAAAUCGUUACUGCAUGUCUCAAAAAACUACCUGGAUGUUAGCGCAAUGCUCUGUGGACAGAUGAGAUGAAAGCUGAAGUCAGAAAUGCAAACCAGCACAAAAACCUCAUCCACAUCCCAUGAAGCAUGGUGGAGGUAACAUCAUGGUUUGAGGCUGCUCUGCUGCCUCAGAGCCUUGACAGCUUGUUAUAAUAGAGGGAACAAUGAAUUCAAAGUUUUUCUUUUUACUAGCCGCUAGUUCUGGUCAGGGCAGGCUGGAGCCUAUUCCAGAAUUUCUGGGUUCAAGGCAACAUCUCUGUUUAAGAAUAUCCUCAGCAAUUCCUUUCGGGAAGAGAAACCUUGUUUUUUAAGGUGAAGUUUUAACAUUGUCCCUGCCUAAUAAUCAUCUGUUCUAUACUCAUUAGCUUGUGUUUGUCUUGUCUGAGAAGUUUGAGAAAUGGUGCAGGUUCGAAUGGAGUUUACAGUCAUUCUGUUGUCACAUCUUUGUCUCUCCCUUCCUGAAAAGCCUGGCAUGACUUACUUUGGAAACUGGUGAAGAGACUGGUCGCUCAAACCUCCAGACACUCAGAAAAACCUUGGAAAGUUAAAUUGCCCGGGAACAAAGGAGGUGGUAGGCAACCUGGAACUACCGAAUGGAACGAAGAAUAGGAAAUGACUGCAGUUUCUAUACCCUUUUACUGCAUUCUGAAACGAUGUCUGUAACACCCAGGUGCCACAGAACAAGCUCUGAUAUGAAGAGGUGGUUCCUUGAAAUGGUGAUGCUGGAGGGAAAACAUUCGGUCGUCAGCUCUGUAGAUGAUGGUAACAGUCAAUAAAAAACAAACAAAAGUCAUUAACCGCAGGGUGAUUCCGCAUAUAAAACAGUGUUAUCCCACUAAUCCAGUAAUAAGACAGUCUUGGUAAGUGUACUGAAGAGGUAAAGGAAAUUUUUUAAAAAGUAAUGACUAUUGAUAUGCUCUGCAUAAAAAAUAUUAAAGCUAAAGUAAUUUCUAAUGAGUCGACACCUAAUUUAAUAGCAGGAAUUUAAUUUAAGUGUUUCAGGAAUAAAAAAUAAUUACACAGACA